AGAGUUUGAUCCUGGCUCAGGAUGAACGCUAGCGGCAGGCCUAAUACAUGCAAGUCGAACGGUGAUAGCAAUAUCAUAGUGGCGCACGGGUGCGUAACACGUAUGCAACCUACCUAUUAUUGGGGGAUAGCCUUUGGAAACGGAGAUUAAUACCGCAUAAUACGAUUGACUGGCAUCGGUUGAUUGUUAAAGCUUUGGCGAUAAUAGAUGGGCAUGUGUCCAAUUAGUUAGUUGGUUAGGUAACGGCUGACCAAGACGAUGAUUGGUAGGGGAUCUGAGAGGAUAAUCCCCCACACUGGCACUGAGAUACGGGCCAGACUCCUACGGGAGGCAGCAGUAGGGAAUAUUGGGCAAUGGGCGGAAGCCUGACCCAGCCAUGCCGCGUGCAGGAAGAAGGCGUUAUGCGUUGUAAACUGCUUUUUUAUAGGAAGAAGGAUCCCAUGCGAGGGAAGGUGACGGUACUAUAAGAAUAAGCACCGGCUAACUCCGUGCCAGCAGCCGCGGUAAUACGGAGGGUGCAAGCGUUGUCCGGAUUUAUUGGGUUUAAGGGUGCGUUGGCGGUUUAUUAAGUCAGUGGUGAAAGACGGUCGCUCAACGAUUGCAGUGCCAUUGAUACUGGUAG
rnacentral:rRNA from 1 species